CGGGCACCGCCGCGGUGUAAAUUUCUUGGAACAGAAUGUCAGAGAGGGUGAGAAUCCCGUCUUCGACCGCGGUAGGACCCAUGUGAAACUCCUUCGACGAGUCGAGUUGUUUGGGAAUGCAGCUCAAAAUGGGUGGUAAAUUUCAUCUAAAGCUAAAUAUUGGCCAGAGACCGAUAGCGCACAAGUAGAGUGAUCGAAAGAUGAAAAGCACUUUGAAAAGAGAGUUAAACAGUAUGUGAAAUUGUUGAAAGGGAAGCGCUGGCAACCAGACUCGAGCGCGGUGGUUCCCCCCGGCUUCUGCCGGGGUUACUCCACCGUGACCGGGCCAUCAUCAGUUUUGGGGGUCGGUCAAAGGCGCCGGGAAUGUACCCACUCCUUCGGGGGUGGACUUAUAGCCCGGCGUGUCAUGCGACCUCCCGGGACUGAGGAACGCGCUUCGGCGAGGAUGAUGGCGUAAUGGUUGUCAGCGACCCGUCUUGAAACACGGACCAAGGAGUCUAACAUCUAUGCGAGUGUUCGGGUGUCAAACCCUUGCGCGUAAUGAAAGUGAACGGAGGUAGGAAGGCCUGAGCCUGCACUAUCGACCGAUCCUGAUGUCUUCGGAUGGAUUUGAGUAAGAGCAUAGCUGUUGGGACCCGAAAGAUGGUGAAC
rnacentral:rRNA from 1 species